UGGGUCAGAACAUUUUAUUACUAGGUGGGGGUUAAUCAUGUUUCAAAUUAAGCACUACAUGUUGAGAACAGUGGGUUGUGAUUCCUUUCUGUACAUUUUCUUACUUGUCUGUAAAUAUUAUUACUGACUGUGCAUAAUGUGUUGACACAAAAACAUCUACAAGUCUGUACUAGGAGUUGUACAGUCCACCUCCCCAAUUUUACACUAGUGGUUUGUCCCAACCAAACAGCCACUUUGCUGCUGGCUUGUUUGCAACUUCUGAAUUGAAUUCUCCUCUGAGCAGUUUUAUGGUAAGUUUUUCAAUAUUACUUUGAUCUUAAAUGUGUUUAUUGAAAAAUAAGGGCAUUGUUUUGUGCCCAUAGUAAUCCUGGUUAUUUUGGGGCAAAACGGAUAUUUUUAAUAAUUGAGGUCAUGUCUCCUUUUGUAUUAUUUUCAUCCUACCCACCACUCCAGGCCUAAGUAUGAAAUCCUGUGAGAUUUUGUGGGAUUUGAAUUUUUAAAAUAGGGCGGGGCCUAUUAUUUGGUCUGGGGAAGGGAUGCCUGAAAGGAGGAAGAGGCAUUUGACGAAGACAGAAAAUUGUGGAUCUGAACUUUGGUGAUAAAUGGGACAUAAAUCGGAACAUGACGACGUUGGAUUUAGAAAGAAGUGACUGUAGUAGUAUGGAUUGUAGUGACGAGGAAGGAAGGAGUGGUCAGAAUGAAGAUAAAGAGUGGGAAUUGGUGGGGAAGGGUGGAAAGAAGCAGCAAGCUGCUGAAAGAAAGAGUGUCACUGAAGACACUGAUAAUGAAGGAAUUGAGGAAGGAAAAGAAGCACCAAAAAGACAAAACCUGAAUAUUAUAAUAAGAUUUGAUGAAGGAGAAGGAGUCAAGAAGAUUGAUCCACUUAAGCUAACAAAAGCACUUAAAACACAUGUUGGGGAAAUUAAACAUGCUAAGAUACUGAGAAACGGAAAUCUUUUGAUUGGAUGUAAUUCUGAAGGUCAGGUUGAAAAGGCGAAAAAGAUUGGAUGGGUGUGUAAAGUCAAAGUCAGAGCAGUUGUUAAAGUGGGUGAAAAAAGAAAUAAUGAAAGCAAAGGUAUUAUAACAGGAGUGCCGUUGAGUAUUAACAUGAAGUACUUAGUUGAGAAUCUGAAAGAAAGAAACAAGGAAAUAAAAGGAGCACGAAGAAUGGGGUACAGAGAAGAGUGAAACAGAAACUGUGUUGUUGGAAUUUGAAACAAAAGAAAUGCCAAGGGAGGUUUUCUUUGGCUUGAUAAGAUUUAGUGUCAGGGAAUAUGUGCCUAAACCAGUCAGAUGUUUCAACUAUAAGGAAUUUGGCCAUAUGCAAAAAUGUGUAAAGGAAAAAGGAGAUGUGCCCGAUGUUCUGGAGACCAUGAAUAUGGUAAAUGUGGAGUUGGAGUUAAACCAAAGUGCUGUAGUUGUGGAGGAGAGCCUAGUGUAGCUUUUUGGGGAUGCGAAGUAAUGAAACUACAAUCAAUUAUACAGAAAAUGAAAGUUACGCAGAAAGUAACAUAUGCAGAAGCGUGUAAAAACUGAAACUUGGCUGAGGCCUUUUUUGGAUUUCAAAUUAGAUGGAUAUAUUGCAGUUAGAUAUGAUAGAGAAGAAGGAAAUGGGGGAGGGUGUCUUUCUCUGAUUAAAGAAGGUAUUCCAUAUAAAAUUAUUGGAAGGAAAGGAGAUUUGGAGUAUGCUGCAGCUGAAAUAUGGAUGGAAGAGAAGGUAAUGUUGAUUAUAAAUUUUUACAAUCCUUGUAAAAAGCUUGAGUUAAGCAAACUUGAAGAGAUAGAUAUGAAAGGAAAUGU